rnacentral:rRNA from 1 species
AACGAACGCUGGCGGCAUGCCUAACACAUGCAAGUCGAACGAGCCCUUCGGGGCUAGUGGCGCACGGGUGCGUAACGCGUGGGAAUCUGCCCUCAGGUACGGAAUAACUCAGGGAAACUUGAGCUAAUACCGUAUGAUGUCUUCGGACCAAAGAUUUAUCGCCUGGGGAUGAGCCCGCGUCGGAUUAGCUAGUUGGUGGGGUAAAGGCCCACCAAGGCGACGAUCCGUAGCUGGUCUGAGAGGAUGAUCAGCCACACUGGGACUGAGACACGGCCCAGACUCCUACGGGAGGCAGCAGUGGGGAAUAUUGGACAAUGGGCGAAAGCCUGAUCCAGCAAUGCCGCGUGAGUGAAGAAGGCCUUCGGGUUGUAAAGCUCUUUUACCCGGGAAGAUAAUGACUGUACCGGGAGAAUAAGCCCCGGCUAACUCCGUGCCAGCCGCCGCCGUAAUAC